UGACGCAGCGACGCCGCGUGGGGGAUGAAGGCCUUCGGGUUGUAAACCCCUUUCAGCAGGGAUGAAGCGAAAGUGACGGUACCUGCAGAAGAAGCGCCGGCUAACUACGUGCCAGCAGCCGCGGUAACACGUAGGGCGCAAGCGUUGUCCGGAAUUAUUGGGCGUAAAGAGCUCGUAGGUGGCCCGCCACGUCCGCUGUGAAAACUCAGGGCUUAACCCUGAGCUUGCAGUAGAUACGGGCGGGCUAGAGGUAGGUAGGGGAGAAUGGAAUUCCCGGUGUAGCGGUGAAAUGCGCAGAUAUCGGGAGGAACACCGGUGGCGAAGGCGGUUCUCUGGGCCUUACCUGACACUGAGGAGCGAAAGCGUGGGGAGCGAACAGGAUUAGAUACCCUGGUAGUCCACGCCGUAAACGUUGGGCGCUAGGUG
rnacentral:rRNA from 1 species